UACGGAGGGCGCGAGCGUUAAUCGGAAUUACUGGGCGUAAAGCGCGCGUAGGCUGUAGUGUAAGUUGGGGGUGAAAUCCCACGGCUCAACCGUGGAACAGCCCUUGAUACUGCGCGACUUGAAUCCGGGAGAGGGUGGCGGAAUUCCAGGUGUAGGAGUGAAAUCCGUAGAUAUCUGGAGGAACAUCAGUGGCGAAGGCGGCCACCUGGACCGGUAUUGACGCUGAGGCGCGAAAGCGUGGGGAGCAAACAGG
rnacentral:rRNA from 1 species